UACGUAGGGUGCAAGCGUUGUCCGGAAUUAUUGGGCGUAAAGAGCUCGUAGGCGGUUUGUCGCGUCGAAUGUGAAAACCCGGGGCUCAACCCCGGGCCUGCAUUCGAUACGGGCAGACUAGAGUUCGGUAGGGGAGUCUGGGAUUCCUGGUGUAGCGGUGGAAUGCGCAGAUAUCAGGAGGAACACCGGUGGCGAAGGCGGGAUCCUGGGCCAGUACCGACGCUGAGGAGCGAAAGCGUGGGGAGCAAACAGG
rnacentral:rRNA from 1 species